rnacentral:rRNA from 1 species
GACAGAGGUGCCGAGCGUUAGGCGGAAUCACUGGGCUUAAAGCGUGUGUAGGCGGCGGCGUAAGUACCUUGUGAAAUCCCACGGCUCACCCGUGGAACGGCUGGGCAUACUGGUCGUCUUGAGCCACCUAGGGGCGAGCGGAACAAAUGGUGGAGCGGUGAAAUGCGUAGAUAUCAUUUGGAACGCCAAUGGUGAAAACAGCUCGCUGGGGGUGUGCUGACGCUGAGACACGAAAGCCAGGGGAGCAAACGGG